rnacentral:tRNA from 1 species
ACUUUUUUAGUUUAAUAAAUAAAAUUUCAUCUUGUGAUGUUGAAGAUCUAACUUUAGAAGAAGUA